rnacentral:rRNA from 1 species
GUGAGGAAUAUUGCGCAAUGGGGGAAACCCUGACGCAGCGACGCCGCGUGAGUGAAGAAGGCCUUCGGGUUGUAAAGCUCUGUCAGCAGGGAAGAAAUGUCAUAUGGCUAAUAUCCAUGUGAUUUGACGGUACCUGCAGAGGAAGCACCGGCUAACUCCGUGCCAGCAGCCGCGGUAAUACGGAGGGUGCGAGCGUUAAUCGGAUUUACUGGGCGUAAAGGGCGCGUAGGCUGUUAAUCAAGUCAGAUGUGAAAGCCCGUGGCUUAACCACGUGAAGUGCAUCUGAAACUGGUUGACUUGAGUACUGGAGGGGAAGGUGGAAUUCCCGGUGUAGAGGUGAAAUUCGUAGAGAUCGGGAGGAAUACCGGUGGCGAAGGCGACCUUCUGGACAGAUACUGACGCUGAGGCGCGAAAGCGUGGGGAGCAAACAGGAUUAGAAACCCGAGUAGUCC